UGCGUAGGCGUCCAGGAAAGUUAUUUGUUAAAGCCUUCGGCUUAACCGGAGAUAUGCAAGUAAAACUAUCUGGAUAGAGUUUAAGAGAGGAAAAUGGAAUUCCUGGUGUAGCGGUGACAUGCGUAGAUAUCAGGAGGAACAUCAAUGGCGAAGGCAGUUUUCUGGCUUAAAACUGACGCUGAGGCACGAAAGCGUGGGGAGCAAACAGGAUUAGAUACCCUGGUAGUCC
rnacentral:rRNA from 1 species